CCUACGGGCGGCUGCAGUGGGGAAUAUUGGACAAUGGGGGCAACCCUGAUCCAGCCAUGCCGCGUGUGUGAAGAAGGCCCUCGGGUUGUAAAGCACUUUCAGUGAGGAAGAACGCCUGGUGGUUAAUACCCAUCAGGAAAGACAUCACUCACAGAAGAAGCACCGGCUAACUCCGUGCCAGCAGCCGCGGUAAUACGGAGGGUGCGAGCGUUAAUCGGAAUUACUGGGCGUAAAGCGCGCGUAGGUGGCUUGAUAAGCCGGUUGUGAAAGCCCCGGGCUCAACCUGGGAACGGCAUCCGGAACUGUCAAGCUAGAGUGCAGGAGAGGAAGGUAGAAUUCCGGUGUAGCGGUGAAAUGCGUAGAGAUAGGGAGGAAUACCAGUGGCGAAGGCGGCCUUCUGGACUGACACUGACGCUGAGGUGCGAAAGCGUGGGUAGCAAACAGGAUUAGAUACCCUGGUAGUC
rnacentral:rRNA from 1 species